AAUAUGGGAGUAUAUACUAUGCAAAGAUCAUUCUUCACAGAGUUUUUGUCUCUUCCUAUGAGAGUUAAAAAACUUAUGAAGAACGAAAUAGAAGAGCUCCCAACCUUUCGGAUUAGAGCUCAAACGAAAACCUUCUCUUUUGAUCAUGGUUGAUUUUAACAAGAGUUUAGUAUAUUUUGUAUUUAGUAUUCUAAUGUCUAACAGAAUUUACAUUGUAAAUGAUUUGUCCUUGACAAAUUUCAUAUGUGGUUAUUUCAUUCCUAAUAGUAGGGGACAUUUCUUGUACAAAGAGGAAAUCUACAUCCUCCAUGUAACUCAAGGGGGCUUGGACAAAUAUCCACCCUCUUCUUUUGUAAGUGUGAUCUUUUGAAGCAA
rnacentral:lncRNA from 1 species